UAAAUUGUUUUUUUAAGAUACUAUAUACACACACAUAUACAUACAUACUUUAGGUCAGCAUAUUAUGAGCUCUUUGAUAACAGGGAUUUUUACUUGCUCAUUUUUGUUUCAUCAGUGCAUUCUCUGAGGGUUGGAACAUAUGUGGUAGAUAUCCUGUCAUGUUUGCUGAGAGAUUGACAGAACCAAUAAUAAGUAAUGAAAGUAAAAUUGGUCAUUCAAUGAUAUUUCAAAUGAUCCCAUAUGGUAUUCUAGUGGUUUAAAUGGUGGCCACCAACAAGACGUGUCUAUGUCCAAUGCCCUGUGAACCCCUAAACCUUUAUUUGGAAAAUGAGUAUUUGCAGGUAUAAUUAAGGAUCUUGAGGUGAGAUCAUCCUGGAUACUUGCUAGGCCUUAAAUAUAAUGACAAAUGUUCCUCUAAGAGACAGAAGAGGAUUGAAACACCCAGAGAAAAAGAUGAUGUGAAGAGGAGGCAGAGAUUGGAAAUGAUAUGGCUACAAGCCAAGGAAACCAAGAAAUGGUGAUAAUCACCUGAAGCUGGAAAAGUAAAGGAAGGAUUCUCCACUGGGAGGUUCCACGGGGAUCUGUAUACAAGAGGAAACCCAUGUGAGGCAGCAGAAGGGGAAAGGGAGGGAUCUCCAGAUGAAAACUAGGAAUUGGUGCCAACAGGAGGGUGCAUGAAAGAGCAGGAGUCACCUGAAGAGAGUGCAACUUACAGAGGCAAAUCUGGGCAUUUGCUCACCAUGAAUAACCUUCAAAUCAUCCUGAAAACCUACGAAUUCGGCCUGAGAUUUAAAGAGAGACCAGC